rnacentral:rRNA from 1 species
GUUUGUUGUAAAUGGCGGCGUUAACGUGAGCGUCCUAAGGUAGCGCGAUAAUUUGCUUUUUAAUUGAAGGAUGGUAUGAAAGGGUUAACGAAGAAGAUGCUGUAUCUAAAAAUUUAAUUUAAACUAACUUUAAGGUGAAGAGGCCUUUAUGUAAAAGAAGGACGACAAGACCCUAUGAAGCUUUAUCUUAAUUGAAGGUCUUAGCCUUUUAUACGUUUUUGAUGGGAGAUCAGCAAAAAUAAGUCUUUUGCUAUAUCAUUAAUCCUACUGGAAUUUACUAGUUUUAUAUGUGUGACUAGCUACUCUAGGGAUAACAGCGCAAUUUCCCCCGAAAGAUGGUAUUGGAGGGGAAGAUUGCGACC